rnacentral:lncRNA from 1 species
ACCCGAUUUAAUCUGGUUACUACUCCUGCCCAGUAACUAGAAAAUGCAUAUAAUGAUUGGCUUUGGAUAGAAAACACCCUAAAGUUUCUAAAACUGUUUGAAUGGUGUCUGUGAGUAUAACAGAACUCAUAUGGCAGGCCAAAACCUGAGAAGAUUCCAUGCAGGAAGUGACCUGUCUGACAAUUUCUUGCCCUUCUUCAUUAUCUCUAUCCAUUACAGAGGAUCUCUGCUGUUACGUGACACUUCCUACAGCUCCCAUGGGCUCUCAGAAGGCGGCAAAAAGCUGAAUUGUGGCUUUGCAGGCUCUGGUUGAAAAAAAGUAGCGCGUUUGGGUAGUGGCUGGUUACAGUACUGUGAGACUCAGGCUUGUGCCCGCAUCGACAGAAUGCUUUGUUUUCUUUCCUCUGUUUACCUAAACGCAGAUUCCAGGUCGGAAUAUUAUCGUUUUUUUACGAGAAAAAUGGCAUAAAAAUUGAUUUUAAACAGCGGUUGACAUGCUUCGAAGUACGGUAAUGGAAUAUUUAGAAUUUUUUUGUCACGAAUUGCGCCAUGCUCGUGACCCUUAUUUACACUUCGGAUAGUGUCUUGAACGCACGAACAAAACGCCGCUAUUUGGAUAUAACGAUGGAUUAUUUUGGACCAAACCAACAUUUGUUAUUGAAGUAGCAGUCCUGGGAGUGCAUUCUGACGAAGAACAUCAAAGGACAAUGACCCAACACACCUCCAGGCUGUGUAAGGGCUAUUUGACCAAGAAGGAGAGUGAUGGAGUGCUGCAUCAGAUGACCUGGCCUCCACAAUCACCCGACCUCAACCCAUUUUAGAUGGUGUGGGAUGAGUUGGACCACAGAGUGAAGGAAAAUCAGCCAACAAGUGCUCAGCAUAUGUGGGAAAUCUUUCAAGAUUGUUGGAAAAACAUUCCAGGACCUGAGCCCUAGGACCAUGCCUCAGGACUACCUGACAUGAUGACUCCUUGCUGUCCCCAGUCCACCUGGCCGUGCUGCUGCUCCAGUUUCAACUGUUCUGCCUGCGGCUAUGGAACCCUGACCUGUUCACCGGACGUGCUACCUGUCCCAGACCUGCUGUUUUCAACUCUCUAGAGACAGCAGGAGCGGUAGAGAUACUCUCAAUGAUCGGCUAUGAAAAGCCAACUGACAUUUACUCUUGAGGUGCUGACUUGUUGCACCCUCGACAACUGUGAUUAUUAUUAUUUGACCAUGCUGGUCAUUUAUGAACAUUUGAACAUCUUGGCCAUGUUCUGUUAUAAUCUCCACCCGGCACAGCCAGAAGAGGACUGGCCACCCCUCAUAGCCUGGUUCCUCUCUAGGUUUCUUCCUAGGUUUUGGCCUUUCUAGGGAGUUUUUCCUAGCCACCGUGCUUCUACACCUGCAUUACUUGCUGUUUGGAGUUUUAGGCUGGUUUUCUGUACAGCACUUUGACAUAUCAGCUGAUGUAAGAAGGGCAAAAUAAAUACAUUUGAUUUGAUUUUAUUUUUGGUACUGUAUCUCUGUACUUGUUUGUGAUGAACACAUAGCCUAUCAUUAAUAUGCAUAUAAUUGUCAAAAGAGAAUCAGAUGAAUCUGAUGAUGAAUGUCAAAGGAUAGUUCCAAUGUCUUUCUUGUUCCAUGUGUUAUGUGUUACUCAAAGUGAAAUUUGUUCACUGUUUUUUCCAUUCAUCCAUUUACUCACUCAUGGAUUCAUUUAUAUGCAUGUAGGAUGUUUUUAUUAUUAUACCUGCAACCUGCAAAUGUAUUAUUUUAUUUGCAUUUGCAUUUAUCCCACCUCAAUCAUAAUGGCACUGCCUCUGUCCCUCAGUCAAGGUUAGGGAUGGUGCAGGUUUAAAAUCAGUUCAAUAAAGUGAGGAGGUAGACAGUGCACUUCUAGCAUACAGAGUGGAGCAGAGAGAGAUGAGGUGAUUUGCCACCGUGGCUCACAAGCAGCUCAGGUGUGUGAGGGACAGAGUGACGAGGGAAGGAAGAGAAUAAGAUAUCCCCAUAGCAUCUUUCUAUGAAAUAAAGGACAGAAUAUGUAACGGUCGUCGUAAUGGAUGGACCAAGGCGCAGCGGGUUGAGUGCUCAUAUUUAACUUUUAAUGUGAACACUUAAUCAACAAAACAAGAAAACAAACGGACGACAACCAGUCUUGCAGGCAACACACAGCUAUGCCAACAACAACCUCCCACAAAUCCCAUGACAAACUCAUUCCUAUUUAUAGGACCUUCAAUCAGAGGCAACGAUAGACAGCUGCCUCCAAUUGAAGGCCCCAACCCCAAUUACCUAAACAAAGGAAUAGAAAUGACUAGACAGAACAUAGAAAUACACUAACAUAGAACAAUGACUAAAACCCCGGAAUACAUAAACCAAACACCCCUCUACAUACACACUCACCCCGAACCAUAUAAAACAAACACCUCCUGCCAUGUCCUGACCAAACUAUAAUAACAAAUAACCCCUUUACUGGCCAGGACGUGACAGAAUAAGAGUAUGUUGGGGAAAGGAUUUGGUUGAGACAGAAGUGGAGGCAUUGUACUAAAAGAAAAGCCUAGAGAGUGGUUCAAUAUUCCCCUGUAAAUACUGCAUAUUUCCCUGUGUCUCUAAGUCACGUGUCUCUGUGCUUCAUCUUUCCUCCCGAAGGCACUGGGUUCAGGGAGAUUAAAUAUGGGCCCUGCUCUCACAUUGGAAUUCCCCAGCAUGUUCGCACCACACUACUUUGGUGGUGACACAUUGCUAAACUAAAUAGAUUGGAUUGAAAAAGUGCUGUGACUGGGAAGGUCAAGUCUUCCAAUACCACUGAAGCAAGCUCAACCUGAUUCAGCUCGCCUGCUUUAACCUGGUGCUGGGCUGGCAGACCCCUCCCCACCCCCCUACUCUCUUCCUACUAAUAACAUAUAGUUAAAGCUGGGUUCCAACACGAACAUUUACUGUAGAUGUGGAAUAAGAAAGUAAAAACUGGUGGAUGAAAUUACAACAAUACUAUAACUGAUUGGUUUCAUAAACUGUGAUCUGUUAUAACAAGCGAAUUAGGGUCAUAUAUGACAUACCCUUAGGAAUAAAAAGGGAAAAAACUGAAUGAAAUACUUGUGCUGCGUUUAACUGUGUAUUAAUCAAAAUAAAGCUG